ensembl:lncRNA
AGACCGGAACUGUAGAACUUCCACUGGAUUAGGGUUGAGUAUGCAAAUUAGCCGAUGAUGUCAUACUGUAUUCUACACUCAUGGGAGCGUACAAAGACGUAACUGUUUAAGGUGAACGCAAACAUGAAAAUAUUCUCGCUAUUCAACUUGGAAAAGUUGUGAGAACACUGUUGCUAGGCAACUGGAAAAGAUAGACACAGCGCACACGUUAUCUCACGACCGAAACUAAGAAUUUAACUAGAAAAGAAUCAUCACACAGACAUUUCCCUCAGGUGUGUGGGUACAUUUAUUAAUGAAGGGGUGUGUGAGAGUGUGUGUGAGAGUGUGUGUGAGAGUUGGUGUGUGACUGUGUGUGUGACUGUGUGUGUGAGAGUGUGUGUGAGAGUGUGUGUGAGAGUGUGUGUGUGACUGUGUGUGUGAGAGUGUGUGUGAGACUGUGUGUGUGAGAGUGUGUGUGAGAGUGUGUGUGAGAGUGUGUGUGAGUGUGUGUGUGAGAGUGUGUGUGUGACUGUGUGUGUGACUGUGUGUGAGAGUGUGUGUGAG